CGAGCGGCCCGCGACUGAAGCCUCCCUCUGAGAGCCCGGCGGCGGCCUCGCCUCGGCCCUGUCAGCGGUGACCUACGCUGAGGCGGCGGCCUCGGCUAGUCGUCUUUCUCUAGAGUUAACUCUUUAGAGCAUCCUGGAGUCUACCAUAAAUGGACAGUUGGACCUAAGUGGGAAGCUAAUUAUCAAAGCCCAACUUGGAGAGGAUAUUCGGCGAAUUCCCAUUCAUAAUGAAGAUAUUACUUAUGAUGAAUUAGUGUUAAUGAUGCAAUGAGUUUUCAGAGGAAAACUUCUGAGUAAUGAUGAAGUUACAAUAAAGUAUAAAGAUGAAGAUGGAGAUCUUAUAACAAUUUUUGAUAGUUCUGACCUUUCCUUUGCAAUCCAGUGUAGUAGAAUACUGAAACUAACAUUAUUUGUUAAUGGCCAACCAAGACCCCUUGAAUCAAGUCAAGUGAAAUAUCUCCGUCGAGAACUGGUAGAACUUCGAAAUAAAGUGAAUCGUUUACUGGAUAGGUUGGAGCCACCUGGAGAACCAGGACCUUCUACUAGUAUUCCUGAAAAUGAUACAGUGGAUGGUAGGGAAGAAAAGCCUGCUGCCUCUGAUUCUUCUGGUAAACAGUCUACUCAAGUUAUGGCAGCAAGUAUGUCAGCUUUUGAUCCUCUGAAAAACCAGGAUGAAAUCAAUAAAAACGUUAUGUCAGCAUUUGGCUUAACAGAUGAUCAGGUUUCUGGGCCACCCAGUGCUCCAGCAGAAGAUCGUUCUGGAACUCCCGACAGCAUUGCUUCCUCCUCCUCAGCAGCUCACCCACCAGGAGUUCAGGCCCAACAGCCUCCGUAUACAGGAGCUCAGGCACAAGCAGGUCAGAUUGAAGGUCAGAUGUACCAACAGUACCAGCAGCAAGCUGGCUAUGGUGCACAGCAGCCUCAGGCUCUGCCUCAGCAACCUCAGCAGUAUGGUAUUCAGUAUUCAGCUAGCUAUAGUCAGCAGACUGGACCUCAGCAACCUCAACAGUUCCAGGGAUAUGGCCAGCAACCAACUUCCCAGGCACCAGCUCCUGCCUUUUCUGGUCAGCCUCAACAACUGUCUGCUCAACCACCACAGCAGUACCAGGCGAGCAGUUAUCCUCAACAAACUUAUACUGCCCAAACUUCUCAGUCUACUAAUUAUACUGUGCCCCCUCCCUCUCAGCCUGGAAUGGCUCCAAGCCAGCCUGGGGCUUAUCAACCAAGACCAGGUUUUACUUCACCUCCAGGAAGUACCAUGGCCCCUCCUCCAAGUGGGCCUAACCCUUAUGCACGCAAUCGUCCUGCCUUUAGUCAGGGCUAUACCCAGCCUGGACCUGGUUAUCGAUAAGUAGGUUCAGCUGUCCUGAUGAAUAUAGCUGUUUGCCUCCCAAGACUCCAAUACUAUUUUAUUUUAACUUGUAUUGAAGUUCAGAAAUUUAAACAGCAGAGCAUUUUUUAUGGUAUCAUUGUUGCUGUUAAUUGAAAAUGUAAUUUGCUGGAACACAAAAAGACCAAAAUGAAAAUCUUUUUCCUCUCCUGCUUAAAAUGUAGCAGCUUUCUAGUUAUUUUGGAACACUACUCUUACAUGUGUGUAAAGUGAUUGGCUUUCUAGCUUCUCUUGUCCAGAGGAUAUUAAAACGCUAGGUUGAGGUUUAGCCAUCUUACUUGGCUUUUUACUGUUAACAUGAUGUACUAAAGUAG